AUUUAAAUAGUUUAAUUAUUAAAACAUUGAUUUGUGGUGUCAAAGAUAUAAUUUAAAAUUAUUUUAGAUA
rnacentral:tRNA from 1 species